rnacentral:rRNA from 1 species
AUUGAACGCUGGCGGCAGGCUUAACACAUGCAAGUCGAGCGAGCGGCGGACGGGUGAGUAAUGUCUGGGAACCUGCCUGAUGGAGGGGGAUAACUACUGGAACCGGUAGCUAAUACCGCAUACCAUCAGAUGUGCCCAGAUGGGAUUAGCUAGUAGGUGGGGUAAUGGCUCACCUAGGCGACGAUCCCUAGCUGGUCUGAGAGGAUGACCAGCCACCCUGGAACUGAGACACGGUCCGGACUCCUCCGGGAGGCAGCAGAGGGGAAUAUUGCACAAUGGGCGCAAGCCGGAUGCAGCCAGGCCGCGUGUGGGAAGAAGGCCUUCGGGUUGUAAAGCACUUUCAGCGAGGAGGCGUUACUCGCAGAAGAAGCACCGGCUAACUCCGUGCCAGCAGCCGCGGUAAUUC